AUUGAACGCUGGCGGCAGGCCUAACACAUGCAAGUCGAACGGUAACAGGAAGAAGCUUGCUUCUUUGCUGACGAGUGGCGGACGGGUGAGUAAUGUCUGGGAAACUGCCUGAUGGAGGGGGAUAACUACUGGAAACGGUAGCUAAUACCGCAUAACGUCGCAAGACCAAAAAGGGGGACCUUCGGGCCUCUUGCCAUCGGAUGUGCCCAGAUGGGAUUAGCUAGUAGGUGGGGUAACGGCUCACCUAGGCGACGAUCCCUAGCUGGUCUGAGAGGAUGACCAGCCACACUGGAACUGAGACACGGUCCAGACUCCUACGGGAGGCAGCAGUGGGGAAUAUUGCACAAUGGGCGCAAGCCUGAUGCAGCCAUGCCGCGUGUAUGAAGAAGGCCUUCGGGUUGUAAAGUACGUUCAGCGGGGAGGAAGGGAGUAAAGUUAAUACCUUUGCUCAUUGACGUUACCCGCAGAAGAAGCACCGGCUAACUCUGUGC
rnacentral:rRNA from 1 species